rnacentral:misc_RNA from 1 species
AACGCAUCUUGCGCCCCUUGGUAUUCCUGGGGGUAUGCCUGUUUGAGUGUCAUUUCUGACUCCUCGGUGCUUAUCUUGUGUCUCAUAAGAACUGCACUGGACGAUGAAGGCUGCUGAUGACUCGGCUCCUUUCAAAUGCAUGAGCAGAAAACGAGCACUGACAGCUUCGGUUUGAUAUGUUACUGAACCGUUGCUGCGGUCGUCCUGUCUGCUGCUUGUCUCUCAAAGAGACUGUCUGCCUUGCGCAGGCAAUAAUCAUUUCACCCUUGACCUCAAAUCAGGUAGGAUCACCCGCUGAACUUAA